rnacentral:rRNA from 1 species
AUUGAACGCUGGCGGCAGGCCUAACACAUGCAAGUCGAGCGGUGUGGCGGACGGGCGAGUAAUGCCUAGGUAUCUGCCUGGCAGUGGGGGAUAACGUCCGGAAACGGGAGCUGAUAUCGCAUACUUCCAGAUGUGCCUUGGUCGGAUUAGCUAGUUGGUGGUGUAAAGGCCUACCAAGGCGACGAUCCGUAACUGGUCUGAGAGGCUGAUCAGUCAAACUGGAACGGAGACACGGUCCAGACUCCUACGAGAGGCAGCAGUGGGGAAUAUUGGACAAUGGGCGAAAGCCUGAUACAGCCAUGCCGCGUGAGUGAAGAAGGUCUUCGGAUUGUAAAGCACUUUAAGUAGGGAAGCGUUACCAACAGAGUAAGCACCGGCUAACUUCGUGCCAGCAGCCGCGGUAAUUC